rnacentral:lncRNA from 1 species
ACCAAUCUCAACUCCAAUAUUUAUUUCUUCCAUAAAUAAAAGACAACCCAAUUAAUAUCGCAUGGCACGUAACAAAAACCUUAUAAAAGGUUGGGUAAUUUGUUUGACUUUCAAGACGUUAUUCCUCCUUUCCUUCAGAAAAAGAAAAAGGCGUAAAUCCUCCUUUUCCUUCUUUUUUUGAUUUGUUGUUGCAUAUUUUUGUUGUUUUUAAUGUGAUUUGUGC